rnacentral:rRNA from 1 species
AGUGAACGCUGGCGGUAGGCCUAACACAUGCAAGUCGAACGGCAGCACAGUAAGAGCUUGCUCUGACGGGGGGGGGGUGGCGGACGGGUGAGGAAUACAUCGGAAUCUACUUUUUCGGGGGGGAUAAGGUAGGGGAACUUACGCUAGGACCGCAUACGACGUAGGGGGGAAAGCAGGGGAAAGUCGGAGCGGGCGCGAAUGAAUGAGCGGAUGUCGUGUUAGCUAGUGGGCGGGGGAAAGGCCCACCAAGGGGACGAUGCGUAGCUGGUCUGAGAGGAUGGUCGGCCACCCUGGAACUUAGCCACCGUCCAUCCUCCUACGGGACGGACCAGUCGGCAACAUUGGACAAUGGGCGCAAGCCUUAUCCAGCCAUCCCGCGUCUGUGGCGACGGCCUCCGGGUUGUAAUGCCCUUUUUUUGGGAAAGAACAGCAGCCGCUUAUUACCCCGCUUUUCUGACGGUACCCAAAGAAUAAGCACCGGCUAACUUCGUG